CAGAGGUUACUGCUAUCGAGRYUSGAUCGYWAGCCAUGCGAGUUGAAUGUUCUUCGUGAACAUGGCGGACUGCUCAGUAACACGUGGACAACCUACCCUUGGGUCCGGCAUAAUCCUGGGAAACUGGGAAUAAUUCCGGAUAGGUCACCGAUGCUGGAAUGCGCGGUGGCCGAAAGCUCCGGCGCCCGAGGAUGGGUCUGCGGCCUAUCAGGGUUGUAGUGGGUGUAACGUACCUACUAGCCUACGACGGGUACGGGUUGUGAGAGCAAGAGCCCGGAGAUGGAUUCUGAGACACGAAUCCAGGCCCUACGGGGUGCAGCAGGCGCGAAAACUUUACAAUGCGGGAAACCGUGAUAAGGGGAUCUCGAGUGCCAGCAUAUAAUGUUGGCUGUCCAGAUGCCUAAAAAGCAUCUGUUAGCAAGGGCCGGGCAAGACCGGUGCCAGCCGCCGCGGUAACACCGGCGGCCCGAGUGGUAACCGCUAUUAUUGGGUCUAAAGGGUCUGUAGCCGGCCAGGUAAGUCCCUUGGGAAAUCUGGCAGCUCAACUGUCAGGCUGCUAGGGGAUACUGUUUGGCUUGGGACCGGGAGAGGUGAGAGGUACCUUGGGGGUAGGGGUGAAAUCUUGUGAUCCUCGAGGGACCACCAGUGGCGAAGGCGUCUCACCAGAACGGGUCCGACGGUAAGGGACGAAAGCUAGGGGCACGAACCGGAUUAGAUACCCGGGUAGUCCUAGCCGUAAACGAUGCUCGCUAGGUGUCAGUCACGGUGCGACCGUGAUUGGUGCCGUAGGGAAGCCGUGAAGCGAGCCACCUGGGAAGUAUGGCCGCAAGGCUGAAACUUAAAGGAAUUGGCGGGGGAGCACUACAACGGGUGGAGCCUGCGGUUUAUUG
rnacentral:rRNA from 1 species